ACAAACUUGGUCAUUUAGAGGAAGUAAAAGUCGUAACAAGGUCUCCGUUGGUGAACCAGCGGAGGGAUCAUUAUAGAGUUGCGAAAAACUCGCCCAAACCCCUGUGAACAUACCGUUGACAGUUGCCUCGGCGGGCAGCCCCAGGGCGGGGCCAUGGCCCAAAAGUUGGUGCCCGCCGGGGGGCAUUCUAAAUUCUGAAUUGUGUUUUAAUGUUUUCUGAGUUUUUGCGAGAAACGAUCAAAACUUUCAACAACGGAUCUCUUGGCUCUGGCAUCGAUGAAGAACGCAGC
rnacentral:misc_RNA from 1 species